UGGGGAAUCUUUCAAAAUGGGCGAAAGCCUGAUGCAGCCACGCCGCGUGCGGGAUGAAGGCCUUCGGGUUGUAAACCGCUUUCAGCAGGGACGAGGCCGCAAGGUGACGGUACCUGCAGAAGAAGCCCCGGCUAAAUACGGGCCAGCAGCCGCGGUAAUACGUAGGGGGCAAGCGUUAUCCGGAUUCAUUGGGCGUAAAGCGCUCGUAGGCGGUCUGUUAGGUCGGCAAGUUAAAUCCGGGGGCUCAACCCCCGUCCGCUUCCGAUACCGGCAGACUUGAGUUUGGUAGGGGAAGGUGGAAUUCCUAGUGUAGCGGUGGAAUGCGCAGAUAUUAGGAAGAACACCGGUGGCGAAGGCGGCCUUCUGGGCCAUAACUGACGCUGAGGAGCGAAAGCUAGGGGAGCGAACAGG
rnacentral:rRNA from 1 species